rnacentral:rRNA from 1 species
UCCAGAGGGUGCAAACGUUGCUCGGAAUUAUUGGGCGUAAAGCGCGUGUAGGCGGCCUGUUAAGUCGGUUGUGAAAACCCAUGGCUCAACCAUGGAAGUGCGUCCGAAACUGGCAGGCUCGAGUCCUGACGAGGAUGGCGGAAUUCCCAGUGUAGAGGUGAAAUUCGUAGAUAUUGGGAGGAACACCGGUGGCGAAGGCGGCCAUCUGGGAA